AUUGAUAAAGCGUCAGUAUAAAAUCACUAAUCGGACCCGUUCUAUCCAAAGAACAAGAUGGCUUCCGCAACGUGGAUCGCCUGUUUCACACUUCUCGCUUUUAUUGGAGUCAUAAACGCUGCGUGCUACUCUGGUGCCAACGGAAACAAUGGCGCGUAUGCUGUCCCAGGGCCAUACAACUACGGGGCAUAUCCUCCAUCGCCACCUAUUAUUAUAAAAAAAGACAAUUCUAACGAUAUUCUACCAUUUCUCUUCCUGCUACUAGCUGCUCGUUGAAAUGUUGUAUUGAAUUACAAAUAUAUUGAAAUUAAAUGAAUAUUAAAAUUAAUGAAA